GUCAGGGAACGGGCAAUGAGUCCAUGUAUUUGUGUUUUCAGGGAGGUGUUAGGGAAAGGUGGAGGGAGGCGAAGAGAAGGCUAAGGAAGCCUAAGAACUGCGGCUGCAGAGUCACGGAAACACUUCGCUCCGCUCCAGGAUCACUGGCACAGGCCUGUGCCAGGGCGAACUCCGGGCAAGACCCGUGACCCCACCCCAGAAAACUCCCGACUCCCGGGCUGGAGAAGGUAGCCAAGAUCAUUCUCAGUUGCCAUAUGGCAAAGACACAGGAAGCUGCCCUGUGUAGAGACCCACAUGGCAAGGAACUGAGACAUCUUGCCAACAACCACCAGAGUCUGAGGCCUGCUGCCAUCACCAUGUGAGUGAGACAUCUUAGAAGUGGAUCCUUCAGCCUAAGUCAAGCCUUCAGAUGAUUGCAUCUUGACUGCAGCCUCAUCAAAGACCUUGAACCAGAACCACCCAACUCAAUUACUCUCAAAUGCUUAACCCAUAGAAACUAUAGCUGUAAAAUAAGUGCUUAUUGUUUUAAGUCACUAAAUUUG
rnacentral:lncRNA from 1 species